rnacentral:rRNA from 1 species
UACGAAGGGGACUAGCGUUGUUCGGAUUUACUGGGCGUAAAGCGCGCGUAGGCGGAUCGCUAAGUCAGGGGUGAAAUCCCAGGGCUCAACCCUGGAACUGCCUUUGAUACUGACGAUCUGGAGAUCGGGAGAGGUUGGUGGAAUUCCGAGUUGUAGAGGUGAAAUUCGUAGAUAUUUCGGAGGAACACCAGAAGCGAAGGCGGCCAACUGGCCCGAUACUGACGUGAGGCGCGAAAGCGUGGGGGAGCAAACAGG